rnacentral:rRNA from 1 species
UACGUAGGGUGCGAGCGUUGUCCGGAAUUAUUGGGCGUAAAGAGCUCGUAGGCGGUUUGUUGCGUCGGCCGUGAAAACUUGGGGCUUAACCCCGAGCCUGCGGUCGAUACGGGCAGACUUGAGUUCGGCAGGGGAGACUGGAAUUCCUGGUGUAGCGGUGAGAUGCGCAGAUAUCAGGAGGAACACCGGUGGCGAAGGCGGGUCUCUGGGCCGAUACUGACGCUGAGGAGCGAAAGCGUGGGGAGCGAACAGG